ensembl:snRNA LOC120093953 U1 spliceosomal RNA
AUGCUUACCCAGCAGGGGAGAUGCUGUGAUCUCGAAGGUGGCUUUCCCAGGGCAAGUCUUAUCCAUUGCACUCCAAAUGAACUGACCCUUGCAAUUUCCCCAAAUGUAGGAAACUCAACUGCAAAAUUUGUGGUAGUGGGAACUGCAUUUUUGUAAACCAAAC